rnacentral:rRNA from 1 species
UACGGAGGGAGCGAGCGUUGUCCGAAGUUAUUGGGCGUAAAGCGCUUGUAGGCGGCUUGUUAAGUUCCGUGUGAAAUCCCCAGGCUUAACCUGGGAAGUGCGCGGAAAACUGGCGAGCUUGAAUGCCGGAGAGGGUGGCGGAAUUCCCGGUGUAGAGGUGAAAUUCGUAGAUAUCGGGAGGAACACCAGUGGCGAAGGCGGCGACCUGGACGGACAUUGACGCUGAGACGCGAAAGCGUGGGGAGCAAACAGG